AACGCACAUUGCGCCCUCUGGUAUUCCGGGGGGCAUGCCUGUCCGAGCGUUAUCGCUCCCCUCGAGCCCCCGGGCUUGGUGUUGGGCCGCGCCAGCGUCGUGCUGGCGGGCCUCGAAUGCAGUGUAAGCGGUGGUGCCUCGGUCCCGCGCGUAGUCACGUUUCUCGCGCUGGGCGCCGCGGCAGCACCUGCCUCGACCCCCUCAAUUUUCUCCAGGUUUAACCUCGGAUCAGGUAGGGAUACCCGCUGAACUUAA
rnacentral:misc_RNA from 1 species